rnacentral:misc_RNA from 1 species
GUAAUGCACAAGAAUUAAAUUCUCAAAAGAUUGGUGAUGCAGUCAAGGAAAUUUAAUUUUCAUUGUAAAAUUAGAAAGUUUAAAUUUCUAUUAUUUAGAAAAUAUUAGUAGUAUUUCUAUUAGUUAGAAAUUCCAUUGCUAUUAUUAUUAUUUAGGAAGUGGUAUUUUAAUUAUUUAGGAUGUUUAUUUUGUUUAGUAUACCUAAUUAGUUUCAUUUAGGACUAGUUAUUUCACUAUAAAUACCUAUGUCUUGGUAUUUUAGUACUUUUAUUAUGAUAUUUUAGAUAAUUAAGAAUUAAUAAAACUUUGAGAAUUAGUUUCUCCAAAGAAUUUUUCCCCUUGUGCCUUAAGAAUUUGUUUCUCUUGAUCUCGUUGUUCUUCUUGUUCUACAUCAGGUAUCAAAUUUAUUUAUAAAUAAAACAUUAUAUCCUUCUCCUCCUAUAAAGAGAGCAAAAUCCCCCAGAAAACCUCCACAGAUAUGGAACAUGACAACAGAACAGAUAAUAAAUUAUCCUGCUUCCAUUACUAAGACGAAAAAAAGAGAAAUCCGUUAAAUACAAGCACCGCUAUCAGCAUAGAUCUGUGUUAGCUGCUCAAAGGGAAGAGAGAAGGUAAACAAUUCCUAGGGUCAUGACUAUGCAUUGAAGGGCCAUUAAAAGUUUUAAUGCUUAUUGCACAUGACGAGUCAUCCACCACAAAGAUCUUCUUUUAAUGGAUUCCCCAAACAACCCUUAAUAACAAAUAAGCAAUCUAGGAUAGCAAAAGCAAGGAAUUCAACUAUUGAAGAAUCUCCACAUUAUCCAUCUCCUCAGAAGGGGAAACAACAGACUUACAGAGGUCUCAACCAAUUAAAAAUCCUCAAUAAAGCAGCUGUUGACAUUUGAGUGCCAAGAGACUGUAGCAAGUCUACCAAAGAAAUAAUUGAAACUGAGAAAAGAUAACCUAGCAUUACUUCCACUGGUACAUAACGAAUGAAUUUCCUCCUGAAAACCACAAUUAAUGCAGUAAUGCAACACCACAUAAAACUAGGAAGAAGUACGACCUAUCAAUACCUGCAGUCAUGUCUUUACAACAAGCUGAUUUUGAACAAAAAAAUCAUAUCAAAUCAGUAUAGAUGAGUUUCAGGCUUCAAAGAUUAUAUCCAAGCCUAAGCACAACUGUCCUCUGAAAAAUAUCUUUGAGAAAUCCAUACAAGCAGAAAAAACCACGAAGUUAAUUAAGGUGACUUUGAAGACAAGCACAGUUGAAACAGACCAUGAGUGAAAUCCACACUGAAUAUACUCCAAAAUAUUAUCUAUCUAAAUUUCACAGUCAUGUGCUUCAUUUAGAGCAGUUAAGUUACAUAGACUCACAAUCAUGUCAGACUUUUUAUCAAGAUCUAGGAAGAAUUCAAAUGUUAACAUAGAUAAAAGUAGAAGAAAGACAACUUAACUUAAAUGAUCUAGAAAAUAUAGAGUUUAAUUACCACAAAUGGAAAAAGCCAUGAAA